CGCUCUGCGCAUGCGCAUCAAUUAAUCCUGCUCAGCUCCAUCAUGGCGGCGAGGGGCCAUGUGCAAGACCCUAACGACAGGAGGCUACGACCUAUCUACGAUUACCUGGACAAUGGAAAUAACAAGAUGGCAAUCCAGCAGGCCGACAAACUGCUCAAGAAGCACAAAGAUCUCCACUGCGCAAAGGUCCUGAAGGCAAUCGGUCUGCAGCGAACAGGAAAACAGGAUGAAGCCUUUACGUUAGCACAGGAAGUGGCGGUUCUCGAACCCACUGAUGACAACUCUCUACAGGCACUGACCAUCCUCUACAGAGAGAUGCACCGACCCGAGUUAGUGACCAAGCUUUAUGAAGCUGCAGUUCGGAAGGUUCCAGCAAGCGAAGAGUACCACUCUCACCUCUUCAUGGCCUAUGCUCGGGUUGGAGAAUACAAGAAGAUGCAACAGGCUGGAAUGGCACUCUAUAAAAUUGUCCCCAAAAACCCCUAUUACUUCUGGUCAGUCAUGAGCUUGGUGAUGCAGGCCAUCUCAGCGCAAGACGAGAAGCUCUCUCAGACCAUGUUCCUGCCAUUAGCAGAGCGUAUGGUGGAGAAAAUGGUCAAGGAGGAAAAAAUCGAGGCAGAAGCUGAGGUUCAGCUGUACUUCAUGAUCUUGGAGCGCUUGGGAAAAUAUGUGGAGGCGCUGGAGGUGGUUCAGGGGCCACUCGGAGAGAAGUUGACCAGUGAACUACAGAGCCGUGAGAACAAAUGUAUGAAGUUGUACCGGCGUCUGGAGCGCUGGCCCGAGUGCAACGCUUUGUCCAGCAAACUGCUCCUGAAAAACCCUGAUGACUGGCAGUUCUACUUGUUGUAUUUUGACUCGUUGUUCCACCUCAUCGAUCAAAGCUGGACGCCGCCACAGGAAGGAGCUCACUGUGCAGAAGGUGAAGUUCAUGCCUCUGUAGCUCAGUCCAUCAGCUUCAUGGAGGAGCGUCUGGCCACAGAAGACGCAAAGGAGUCGAAACAUCUGAGAGGACCAUACCUGGCCCAUCUGGAGCUCAUCAGACGUCUCCGAGAGCGCAGCUGUCCUGAAGCACAGCAGCUCGGGGAUCCUCUUGAGCUUAUGUUCCAGUUCUUCGUGAAGUUUGGAGACAAGCCAUGUUGCAUCACGGACCUGAAGAUCUUUCUGGACCUUCUCAUCCCUGACCAACAUGUGCAGUUCAUCAACAGGCUAAUGGAGGCUGUGCCACUGGGUGCUCCAGGAGAGGAUGGUUUCGCCUUCCCAGAAGACACUCGGGCUCUGCAGAGACACAUGUGUGUGACGCAGCUCAGCCGCGGUCUGGGUCUACAGCAUUCCCUCAACACUGACGGCAAACUGGGGGUCAUUAAAGAGCUGAAGGCACACUACCGGCACGGCUUACAGUUCGGGAAGUCCUGUUUAAAAACGGAGCUGCAGUUCUCGGAUAUGUACUGUCUCAUGGCAGCGCAUGUCUAUAUAGACCUGUGGAUUGAGACGGAUGAUCAGAACAUGUUGUGGCAGUGUCUGGGGAUGUUAGAAGAAGGUCUGUCCCACAGUUCCUCCAACGCUCAAUUCAAACUGCUGCUUUUGCUUCUGUACUGCCGUCUUGGGGCUUUUGAGCCGGUGGUAGAUCUUUACUCCAGUUUGGAUGCUAAACACGUCCAGCAUGACACCAUUGGGUAUUUAUUGACCCGCUAUGCAGAGUCUUUGGGCCAGUUUGCUGCUGCUUCCCAAUCUUGUAACUUCUCCCUCAGGUUUUUUCACUCGAACCAGAAAGAUACCUCAGAAUACAUUAUUCAAGCAUAUAAGUACGGUGCUUUUGAGAAAAUCCCGGAGUUCAUCGCCUUCAGGAACCGACUCAAUCACUCGCUGCACUUUGCUCAAGUGCGCACGGAGCGGAUGCUGCUGGACCUCUUCCUAGAAGCCGACAUAUCUUCAACUCUAGACGAGAGCGUAAAAUCGAUGUCUUUGUGUCCGGAGGAAGAUGAUAUCCCAUGGGACAAUUUAAGGGACAACCGUGACCUGACUGUCUUUGUCAGCUGGGACCCUAAAGACAAGCAGCUGAAGGAGGAGCACAAGCUGCGCUCUCUAGAAGACGAGACCCUGUGGUUGAAGCUGCGGUCGCUCACUCUGCGUCUGAUUGGCUGCGUUUCUGGACUCACUCACUCGUCGACGGCACGCAACUCUGAAAAGACAACUGAAAACGGAGUCACGGCCAAACCAUCUUCUCUACAAUCUCUGCUCUCCCAGCUAGAAAACACACUAAACCAGGCCUCGCAGUUCACGGAAAAACAGCUUCAGGUCAGCAGCAGCAGUACCCGUUUUUGGGUCCCGUGUCGUCUCGUUUGUCUCAGGCUGUGUCCAGUGGCUGCUGUCAAUGUCAGCUGUCGUCUCUUCAGCUUCCUCUGCACCUGCAAGAGCUGGAAACUAUUGACCUAGAUGAAUCAACAGAACUUCAAACACAAAUAUCAAAUCUUUUCAAGUCUUUAGCAGUACAACUUCAAGAAAUGUUGGAAAAAUGUAAAGGAGAUCUAUUAGAGGUGAAAGACGGUCAAACCAAGACGCAGCACUUUUUACUGGAGCAUCUAGUCUACUUUGUUGAAACUGUUUGUAUCGUCCUAUGGAUAUCUAGUUACUGUGCAAGUGUCCUCCGGCCCUUAAAGUCCAGUUUACAGAAGAAGAAGAAAAAGAAAAAAGAAGCUAGCAUCGUGACGCCGGCGGUGAUUUUGGCCUUUCAGGAGUUUAGCAGCAGCUUGCAGAGCCUCCUCAACCAGGCCCUGGAGCACAUCAAGAGCCAGGAGAUCAGCCUGACCGCACUGAAGCUGGAGGCCCUCAGUCUGGAGGGACAAACCCAGACCGAGGCGGAAGGGACCUUCACAAAGACCGCGAUGGAGAAGGUGCAGAGCAGCUACCUGCGUUCGCUGCAAGAGAUCGGGGAACUGUUGAAGAAGAGAGCGGACUCGUUGAAAUCCCUCAAAAUCUGAGCGCUCCGUCAAUCCAUCCAUCCAGCAUCCAGUCCAGUCCCCGACCCGCACGGCAUCUUUGCUCCCAAACUCAGUCUGUGAUCUCAGCCGGUCUCUUCCUUCCUAUUUAUCCGUCUCAUUACUCACGUACAGAUGAACAGGCACACUGUAACAAAAACAAACCCCAAAACUUCGGCUUCAGCACAAACCUCUACAGUGCUCCGUGCGGCACUUUUAAGUGGAAACGUAAACGUCAUACCCCUAGCGAAACCACAUAGGCGAGCGAAAUUAAGCAAUUUUAGAAGUACUGCUAUAAAUUAUUGUACAUAGUGUGAAGAUAAACCGAUAUCAUCGAGAACUCCUUGGCGAAUUAAAGUGAACUGCUUUGUCUUUUUUUUUUUUUUGUCGAUGUCUUGCGUUAUUGUCUCACUUCUUUCCCUGCCGUAUAAACCCCUCCUGACGAUUUGUUGACGGUGCCACUCUGUAUCGCAAGUAGCCAACUUCCAGACUGACACACACACUCUCUGCGACGCGUUUACACGGCCGUUCGCAACGCACAACCAGCCAAGAGCUAAGCUUCGAGUUUCCAGGAGAUUUUGCGCAACUGUUCGGCGGCGGUGGGAGGAGUAUCCAGAUGCUUUGAGCGAAUGUUUUUGGGUGCAUCCAUCGCGAAUAUUUGUUUGUAUAUUACAAAUGACUUUACUUGAGCCGCAAGCAUUCGAAAUGUAGCUUUCCCGACGAUUCGUUCGGAAUCAUCGACAUACGUAAAAAGGCAAAUACGUCAGUGUAGCAUUGAAUGCUACUUGGGGAAAGUUUGUGUUCGCGUUAGAUUGAUCGAUGUUUGUUCAAUCAUGUUUCAAAUUAAUUUCAUGCGUAAAGUGACGGAUGAAUCGUUUGGUUAUAGGGCGAGUUGUUUACUUUGAACUCUGAAAGAAAUAAUAAUUGUUGAUUGCACUGAUGUCCCUGAAAUGAUGAGGUUUUAUUAAUGUUGCAUACCAAAAAAACGUCUAAAUUAGCCUCGCGUCAAAGUCACAGUCGAGGCGGAGGUAGGUUUUUAUACGAAUGAAAUAUGGUGAUAUCUACCAGGAAGUGCAACUUGUUUACAAUGUUUCUGAGCGCCAUUUUUGAAUUGUGUUUAUAGUGUGUGUGUGUGUGUGUGUGCUGCGAUCUUUAAGCUUUCACUGCUUUAUACCUGCUCGGGAGGGGGAAAUAUGCAUUUCUCUUUUGUCAAGCUUUUUAUUUUAAUCCAACACAACGGGGGAUACAGGACUAGUUGUGCAAACGAGCGGCUCUUCGGUUGCUCCAGGACUCAUUUCACGUCAUCGAGAGGAACACGCGCGCUUCUGGACUGUGGAGGUGCCUGUAGAGGUGAUUGGAAGUGUCGACUGAUGAAUUCUUUUGUUAGGGAAAUUGAGAAAAUAUAAACACUGGAAUGUGAAAAGGAGUUUUUUUUUAAAUAAAUGAGUAAAUGUUC